ACCGCUAUUAACGAUCAGCUUUUCUUCCCAAUUGAAAGUGCUUUACAACCCUAAGGCCUUCUUCACACACGCGGCAUGGCUGCGUCAGGCUUUCGCCCAUUGCGCAAUAUUCCCC
rnacentral:rRNA from 1 species